CAGAGCAAGAGGGCGGAUGUAGCCAAGGGGAUCA
rnacentral:tRNA from 1 species